rnacentral:rRNA from 1 species
UACGGAGGGCGCAAGCGUUGUUCGGAAUCACUGGGCGUAAAGCGCGUGUAGGCGGCCGAGCAAGUCGGAUGUGAAAUCCCGAGGCUCAACCUCGGAACUGCAUUCGAAACUGCUCGGCUCGAGUCCCGGAGAGGAUGGCGGAAUUCCCGGUGUAGGGGUGAAAUCCGUAGAUAUCGGGAGGAACACCAGUGGCGAAGGCGGCCAUCAGGACGGUGACUGACGCUGAGACGCGAAAGCGUGGGGAGCAAUCACG